UGCGUAGGUGGCGGGGUAAGUCGGAUGUGAAAGCUCGGAGCUCAACUCCGAAAUGGCAUUGGAAACUACCUUGCUCGAGGGUUGGAGGGGGGACUGGAAUUCUCGGUGUAGCAGUGAAAUGCGUAGAUAUCGAGAGGAACACCAGUGGCGAAGGCGGGUCCCUGGACAACUCCUGACACUGAGGCACGAAAGCUAGGGGAGCAAACA
rnacentral:rRNA from 1 species